GGGGGACGGAGAAGGCUGAGCCAUCCGGGCGACGGUAGUCCCGGUUUAAGCGUGCAGGUGGUGCGACCCGGCAAAUCCGGUUGCAUGUAAAACACUGAGGCGUGAUGACGAUGCACGUUGAGUGCAGAAGUGGCUGAUGCCCGGCUUCCAGGAAAAGCCUCUAAGCAUCAGGUAACAUCAAAUCGUACCCCAAACCGACACAGGUGGUCAGGUAGAGAAUACCAAGGCGCUUGAGAGAACUCGGGUGAAGGAACUAGGCAAAAUAGUGCCGUAACUUCGGGAGAAGGCACGCUGAGGCUGGUGAAGUCCCUUGCGGAUGGAGCUGGACUCAGUCGAAGAUACCAGCUGGCUGCAACUGUUUAAUAAAAACACAGCACUCUGCAAACACGAAAGUGGACGUAUAGGGUGUGAUGCCUGCCCGGUGCCGGAAGGUUAAUUGAUGGGGUUAGCGCAAGCGAAGCUCUUGAUCGAAGCCCCGGUAAACGGCGGCCGUAACAAUAACGGUCCUAAGGUAGCGAAAUUCCUUGUCGGGUAAGUUCCGACCUGCACGAAUGGCGUAAUGAUGGCCAGGCUGUCUCCACCCGAGACUCAGUGAAAUUGAAAUCGCUGUGAAGAUGCAGUGUAUCCGCGGCUAGACGGAAAGACCCCGUGAACCUUUACUAUAGCUUUGCACUGGACUUUGAAUUUGCUUGUGUAGGAUAGGUGGGAGGCUUUGAAGUGGGGACGCCAGUUCUCAUGGAGCCAUCCUUGAAAUACCACCCUGGCAACUUUGAGGUUCUAACUCAGGUCCGUUAUCCGGAUCGAGGACAGUGUAUGGUGGGUAGUUUGACUGGGGCGGUCUCCUCCUAAAGAGUAACGGAGGAGUACGAAGGUGCGCUCAGACCGGUCGGAAAUCGGUCGUAGAGUAUAAAGGCAAAAGCGCGCUUGACUGCGAGACAGACACGUCGAGCAGGUACGAAAGUAGGUCUUAGUGAUCCGGUGGUUCUGUAUGGAAGGGCCAUCGCUCAACGGAUAAAAGGUACUCCGGGGAUAACAGGCUGAUACCGCCCAAGAGUUCAUAUCGACGGCGGUGUUUGGCACCUCGAUGUCGGCUCAUCACAUCCUGGGGCUGAAGCCGGUCCCAAGGGUAUGGCUGUUCGCCAUUUAAAGUGGUACGCGAGCUGGGUUUAGAACGUCGUGAGACAGUUCGGUCCCUAUCUGCCGUGGACGUUUGAGAUUUGAGAGGGGCUGCUCCUAGUACGAGAGGACCGGAGUGGACGAACCUCUGGUGUUCCGGUUGUCACGCCAGUGGCAUUGCCGGGUAGCUAUGUUCGGAAGAGAUAACCGCUGAAAGCAUCUAAGCGGGAAACUAGCCUCAAGAUGAGAUCUCACUGGGAUCUUGAAUCCCCUAAAGGGCC
rnacentral:rRNA from 1 species